rnacentral:rRNA from 1 species
GUCGGGAAUAUUGCCCAAUGGGCGAAAGCCUGAGGCAGCAACGCCGCGUGCGCGAAGAAGGCCUUCGGGUCGUAAAGCGCUUUUCGAGAGGAUGAGGGAGGACAGUACUCUCGGAAUAAGUCACGGCUAACUACGUGCCAGCAGCCGCGGUAAAACGUAGGUGGCGAGCGUUAUCCGGAUUUACUGGGCGUAAAGCGCGUUCGGGCGGCUGAGGAAGUCGGGCAUGAAAUCUCUCGGCUCAACCGGGAGGGGCUGUCCGAUACUCCUUGGCUUGAGGGCAGCAGAGGCGGGUGGAAUUCCGGGUGUAGUGGUGAAAUGCGUAGAGAUCCGGAGGAACACCAGUGGCGAAAGCGGCCCGCUGGGCUGCCACUGACGCUGAAACGCGAAAGCUAGGGGAGCGAACGGGAUUAGAAACCCUAGUAGUCC